rnacentral:rRNA from 1 species
AUUGAACGCUGGCGGCAGGCCUAACACAUGCAAGUCGAGCGGAUGAAGGGAGCUUGCUCCUGGAUUCAGCGGCGGACGGGGGAGUAAUGCAUAGGAAUCUGCCGGGCAGUGGGGGAUAACGUCCGGAAACGGGCGCUAAUACCGCAUACGUCCUGAGGGAGAAAGAGGGGGAUCUUCGGACCUCACGCUAUCAGAUGAGCCUAGGUCGGAUUAGCUAGUUGGUGGGGUAAAGGCCUACCAAGGCGACGAUCCGUAACUGGUCUGAGAGGAUGAGCAGUCACACUGGAACUGAGACACGGUCCAGACUCCUACGGGAGGCAGCAGUGGGGAAUAUUGGACAAUGGGCGAAAGCCUGAUCCAGCCAUGCCGCGUGUGUGAAGAAGGUCUUCGGAUUGUAAAGCACUUUAAGUUGGGAGGAAGGGCAGUAAGUUAAUACCUUGCUGUUUUGACGUUACCAACAGAAUAAGCACCGGCUAACUUCGUG